UACGAAGGGGGCUAGCGUUGCUCGGAAUGACUGGGCGUAAAGGGCGCGUAGGCGGUGGACACAGUCAGGCGUGAAAUUCCUGGGCUCAACCUGGGGGCUGCGUUUGAUACGUGUUUGCUAGAGUGGGGAAGAGGGUUGUGGAAUUCCCAGUGUAGAGGUGAAAUUCGUAGAUAUUGGGAAGAACACCGGUGGCGAAGGCGGCGACCUGGUCCUUGACUGACGCUGAGGCGCGAAAGCGUGGGGAGCAAACAGG
rnacentral:rRNA from 1 species